rnacentral:rRNA from 1 species
UACGAAGGGGGCUAGCGUUGUUCGGAAUUACUGGGCGUAAAGCGCACGUAGGCGGGUUGUUAAGUCAGGGGUGAAAUCCCGGAGCUCAACUCCGGAACUGCCUUUGAUACUGGCAACCUAGAGACUGGAAGAGGUUAGUGGAAUUCCCAGUGUAGAGGUGAAAUUCGUAGAUAUUGGGAAGAACACCAGUGGCGAAGGCGGCUAACUGGUCCAGUACUGACGCUGAGGUGCGAAAGCGUGGGGAGCAAACAGG